rnacentral:rRNA from 1 species
GGCUCAGGACGAACGCUGGCGGCGUGCUUAACACAUGCAAGUCGAGCGGUAAGGCACUUCGGUGUACACGAGCGGCGAACGGGUGAGUAACACGUGAGUAAUCUGCCCUUCACUCUGGGAUAAGCACUCGAAAGGGUGUCUAAUACCGGAUACGACGGACCACCGCAUGGUGUGUUUGUGGAAACUUUUAUGGGUGGGGGAUGUGCUCGCGGCCUAUCAGCUUGUUGGUGAGGUAAUGGCUCACCAAGGCUUCGACGGGUAGCCGGCCUGAGAGGGCGAUCGGCCACACUGGGACUGAGACACGGCCCAGACUCCUACGGGAGGCAGCAGUGGGGAAUAUUGGACAAUGGGCGGAAGCCUGAUCCAGCAACGCCGCGUGAGGGAUGACUGCCUUCGGGUUGUAAACCUCUUUCAUCAUUGACGAAGCUUCAACGUUGUUGGGGUGACGGUA